GACUGACGAGUUGACUGCUCGAUGACGUGACUUCGAGAUUUCAAAUAAUAUGUUAGACUGCGACACCGAGGCAACUAUGUGAAAGCGCAAAAGCAUCGCCAGGAAGGCAGAGGACACGUCAAACCUGGUAUCGGAAGAUGAUGCUAUGUAGAAGCGAAAGAGACGUCUUCCCCAGAGAUUUAGCAAAUCUUCUAGUGAUUCCGGAAUUGACGCUGAUCUUGAAUCGGUUAGGACCCAAGAAAACAACAUGUACGCGGAGGAACGACUAAGGCUGUGGCAGCAGAGAUACCAAUGCCGAAACUGAAUGCGAAGUCCAAGUCCACAUCACAUUUUUCAGUUCCAACCCACAACUCUAGCAAGGGCUCGGGUUUCGAAAAGCAAUUUUCAAGUGCAGGCACACUGUACGCUGCAGAGGCUGGAGGAAGGGCAGCAGCAGCUGACGCAGUUGGUACAAAAACUGCUUUUGUCCAAAUCGGGAGCGGCCGUUGAUGUGGAAGACCUGAGGGAGCCGUUUACCAAACCAGUGAACACCAAAUUUUCAUUCAAGGUAGAUUAAGAUACCUUCAUUCAGGGGCAAUGCAAAAAUCCUAAAACUCAUAUUGAAACCAAAUUUGACCAUUUCAGCUAAUAAUGGAGAAACUUUAUCAGCGACAUAACAGUUUUGUUGGUGCAUCUUU